AAACCCGCUGAAACUUAAGCAUAUCAAUAAGCGGAGGAAAAGAAACUAACAAGGAUUCCCCUAGUAACUGCGAGUGAAGCGGGAAAAGCUCAAAUUUAAAAUCUGGCAGUCUUUGGCUGUCCGAGUUGUAAUCUGGAGAAGUGCUUUCUGCGCUGGACCGUGUACAAGUCUCUUGGAAUAGAGCGUCAUAGAGGGUGAGAAUCCCGUCUUUGACACGGACUACCAGUGCUUUGUGAUGUGCUUUCAAAGAGUCGAGUUGUUUGGGAAUGCAGCUCAAAAUGGGUGGUAAAUUCCAUCUAAAGCUAAAUAUUGGCGAGAGACCGAUAGCGAACAAGUACCGUGAGGGAAAGAUGAAAAGCACUUUGGAAAGAGAGUUAAACAGUACGUGAAAUUGCUGAAAGGGAAACACUUGAAGUCAGUCGCGUUGUUCAGAACUCAGCCUGGCCUUGGCUUGGUGCAUUUUCUGAAUGACGGGCCAGCAUCAAUUUUGACUGUUGGAUAAAGGCCAGAGAAAUGUGGCUCCUUUGGGAGUGUUAUAGUCUCUGGUUGCAUACAAUGGUUGGGAUUGAGGAACUCAGCAUGCCUUUACGGUCGGGGUUCGCCCACGUUCAUGCUUAGGAUGCUGGCGUAAUGGCUUUAAAUGACCCGUCUUGAAACACGGACCAAGGAGUCUAACAUGCCUGCGAGUAUUUGGGUGGAAAACCCGAGUGCGCAAUGAAAGUGAAAGUUGGGAUCUCUGUCGUGGGGAGCACCGACGCCCGGACCAGACCUUCUGUGACGGAUCCGCGGUAGAGCAUGUAUGUUGGGACCCGAAAGAUGGUGAACUAUGCCUGAAUAGGGUGAAGCCAGAGGAAACUCUGGUGGAGGCUCGUAGCGAUUCUGACGUGCAAAUCGAUCGUCAAAUUUGGGUAUAGGGGCGAAAGACUAAUCGACCUUUUGUCC
rnacentral:rRNA from 1 species